ACGAACGCUGGCGGCGUGCCUAAUACCUGCAAGUAGAACGCUGAAGAGAGGAGCUUGCUCUUCUUGGAUGAGUUGCGAACGGGUGAGUAACGCGUAGGUAACCUGCCUUGUAGCGGGGGAUAACUAUUGGAAACGAUAGCUAAUACCGCAUAACAAUGGAUGACACAUGUCAUUUAUUUGAAAGGGGCAAUUGCUCCACUACAAGAUGGACCUGCGUUGUAUUAGCUAGUAGGUGAGGUAAUGGCUCACCUAGGCGACGAUACAUAGCCGACCUGAGAGGGUGAUCGGCCACACUGGGACUGAGACACGGCCCAGACUCCUACGGGAGGCAGCAGUAGGGAAUCUUCGGCAAUGGGGGCAACCCUGACCGAGCAACGCCGCGUGAGUGAAGAAGGUUGUCGGAUCGUAAAGCUCUGUUGUAAGUCAAGAACGGGUGUGAGAGUGGAAAGUUCACACUGUGACGGUAGCUUACCAGAAAGGGACGGCUAACUACGUG
rnacentral:rRNA from 1 species